UUUAAUUUUCCUCAUGCAGGUUUCUUUUUCAGGGAACAUGACUCUCUACAAAUUGGGAUGCAUCAAACCCUGGUGAGAGGCUUUCUAAGCAGUGCAAGGAACAUGCUGAAGGAAAAAGGGGAAGUUCAUGUAACCCAUAAAAUCGCUGAUCCAUUUGAUAGGUGGGAGAUAGAGAAAUUAGCAGCGGAAGUAGGGCUGUCUUUGGUUGAAAAAGCAUGGUUUUACAAAUCAGAUUAUCCAGGUUAUGAAAAUAAGAGAGGCUCUGGGCAAAAAUUCAAUAAGGGCUUUCCUGUUGGUUUAUGCAUGACAUUCAAAUUUGCUAAGGCAUCAGAAAAUGAGCAAUAAUAAAAGUUGAAGCUCGGCUGACCAAGGCCAGCUCCCAAGUUCAGAUUGUCUUUUACUUGAGCUACAAGUUCUGUAUAUAAAUAAUUAAUAAGUUUCCAAGUAGUAUCCUGACUGUUAAUGAUUAUGUUCUACAGUAUUUCUGUUCAAAUUUUAAUAUUAGUUUAUGAUCUUAUUAUUUAA